UCCGACACUAUUCAUCGACCAUUUCUCCGGAAUCCGGUGGUGGAUAAUAGCAAUUUUGGUAUCAAAAUAACCCCAUCCUUAUUGUGAUCAUUCUCCAACUUUAUUCAUUUCCAAAUCUAUACUCAAUUCUCCAAGAUCUUAAUUUGAACAAAGAUCACUGUAGCUCGAUUCAGUUUUCUUUAUUCUAUCGGCUGAUUAGAGGGAUGGAUGAAUCUGUUCUCUAUUGAUUUUAAUUUUGGCAGCCAUGUCUAUGAGGACCUCUCCCCAGCCUUUGGCUGUGGGAGAGGCUGACAAAAUCUCAACGAAAUCUGAUCCAAACGAAAGUUUCAAGCAAUCUUAUGCUUCAACUCUACAAGUAAGUCAGCUGGCUCCGACAAAAAUUGACCUGUAUCCAGUAAUAUAUGAAAAUGGUGAACCUAUUAUUCACCUUACAAUGGAAGAAGUUAACAUUUUCACUAAGGAAGAAGGUCUACAUCAGGCUGUCGUAUUGAAAUUCUCGUAUGGCAGACCGGACUUAGUGGAAGUACGAAAGAUCUUCUCGUCGCAAUUCAAUAUUCAAGGUCGAUGUAAUAUUGGGCUGUUGGAAUAUAGGCAUCUGUUAAUCAGAUUUGAUUUGUAUGACGACUACGUUCGCACGUCAACUCUACAAGUAAGUGAGCUGGCUCCUGCAAAAACUUAUCUGUAUCCAGUUAUAUAUAAACAUUAUAAACCUGUUAUUCAAUUUACAAUGGAAGAAGUUAACAACUUCACUAAGGAAGAAGGUUUACAUCAGGAUGUCUAUUGAAAUUCUCUUAUGGCAGACCAGAUUUAGCGGAAAUGCGAAAGAUUUUCUCAUUGCAAUUUAAUAUUCAAGGUCGAUGUAAUGUUGGGCAGUUGGAAUAUCGGCAUAUGUUAAUCAGAUUUAAUUUGUACGGUGACUACGUUCACUUCUUUUCGAAGACGACUGGAUAUCUUAAGUCCAAAGGAGAAGAAUACUUCUUCAGAUCAUUUCCAUGGACUUUCGAUUUCAAUUUGAGGGAAGAGACAUCAAUG
rnacentral:lncRNA from 1 species